UAGAAAUAAAGAAAUAACCACUGAACCGCACGCAGUGGUUCAGACCAGGCUGAUGCAACACCUACUCAGGAGACUCUUCGUGAAUUUGAUUACUUUGGUAUCAAGAGACCAAUGCAAAGAGGCCAAACAUGAAGCAGCCCUAUAACAAGGCUCUAUGUGCUCCUCAUCCAUUGCUCUAAGUACCCCUGUUCUUGACUCCAGACUGAAGGCUUCCUUUGACAGUGAUUGAUGGCCACCCUCUCACAGGAAGAAUGACUAACUCCAACCUGGGGAUCCUCACCACCAAGAAGACUAGAUGGAGAGGCUCACCGAUUAUCAGGAUGCUGGUGGGGUCCACGGAGUGGUGAUAUUUUCUUUGAUCUGUCCCCCCCAUCUCUUUUCUCUUUCUUUCUCUUUCUCUGUCUGUCUCUCUCACAUUUACUGUUAAAUAAAAUCCAUACUAUUGACUUUGACAUAUGGUCUUAUUUGCACCUUAAUUCAGGCAGAGGCAUUUCUAAUAAUUUUAAGAACUGGACCAAAACAAAGGAGCAUCAUGUUUUCAUCUGUGCUGGCAACAGCAGAAGGAUCAUAGAUAUCACUAAACUCCCCUGUGCUUGCACCACUUAUUUAAUGGAAUUUUUACCAGGGAGUGUUCACUGGAAUUUCAGAGGAAAUAUAGAUUAUCCUCUAAACCUCUAUAUCUGUAAGACAGGGAAUUUUUAUUCCUUCUCUCUCCUUACCUUCAUGCCAUGGCCUCUCCUGCUUUUGCAGUCCUGCUAGUGUUGGCUCUUCCUUUAGCAUUUCCACCAUGUCUCUUUUCUGCAGAGAAGAACUCUGCACCAGGGGGUUGGUUUUAGGUAGUGGCAAAGGGGAUAUAAGGUCCUGGAACUUCAGAGCUUAACUAAAGCUUGUUCAAGCCAAUCAGUAAUUUUGGCCAUGUGGUUUUAGAAGGUUUUUUUAAAUAAAAAUUAUUGUGCAACAGG
rnacentral:lncRNA from 13 species